rnacentral:rRNA from 1 species
CCUACGGGAGGCAGCAGUGAGGAAUAUUGGUCAAUGGGCGCGAGCCUGAACCAGCCAAGUAGCGUGAAGGAUGACUGCCCUACGGGUUGUAAACUUCUUUUAUAAAGGAAUAAAGUGAGGCACGUGUGCUUUUUUGUAUGUACUUUAUGAAUAAGGAUCGGCUAACUCCGUGCCAGCAGCCGCGGUAAUACGGAGGAUCCGAGCGUUAUCCGGAUUUAUUGGGUUUAAAGGGAGCGUAGAUGGGUUGUUAAGUCAGUUGUGAAAGUUUGCGGCUCAACCGUAAAAUUGCAAGUGAUACUGGCAGUCUUGAGUACAGUUGAGGUAGGCGGAAUUCGUGGUGUAGCGGUGAAAUGCUUAGAUAAUAGGAGGAACAUCAGGGGCGAAGGCGACUUACUGGACUGUAACUGACACUGAGGCACGAAAGCGUGGGGAGCAAACAGGAUUAGAUACCCGAGUAGUC